GCAGUCGAGGGGCAGCAUUUCAGUUUGCUUGCAACUGGAGAUGGCGACCUGCGCACGGGUGAGUAACACGUAUCCAACCUGCCGAUAACUCGGGGAUAGCCUUUCGAAAGAAAGAUUAAUACCCGAUGGUAUAAUUAGACCGCAUGGUCUUGUUAUUAAAGAAUUUCGGUUAUCGAUGGGGAUGCGUUCCAUUAGGCAGUUGGUGAGGUAACGGCUCACCAAACCUUCGAUGGAUAGGGGUUCUGAGAGGAAGGUCCCCCACAUUGGAACUGAGACACGGUCCAAACUCCUACGGGAGGCAGCAGUGAGGAAUAUUGGUCAAUGGGCGCAGGCCUGAACCAGCCAAGUAGCGUGAAGGAUGACUGCCCUAUGGGUUGUAAACUUCUUUUAUAUGGGAAUAAAGUUUUCCACGUGUGGAAUUUUGUAUGUACCAUAUGAAUAAGGAUCGGCUAACUCCGUGCCAGCAGCCGCGGUAAUACGGAGGAUCCGAGCGUUAUCCGGAUUUAUUGGGUUUAAAGGGA
rnacentral:rRNA from 1 species